CAGAGGGUGCAAACGUUGCACGGAAUCAUUGGGCGUAAAGCGCACGUAGGCGGCCCAGCAAGUGGGGAGUGAAAGCCCUCGGCUUAACCGAGGAAGUGCUUUCCAAACUACUGGGCUUGAAUACUGGAGAGGGUCGCGGAAUUCCCGGUGUAGAGGUGAAAUUCGUAGAUAUCGGGAGGAACACCAGUGGCGAAGGCGGCGACCUGGACAGAUAUUGACGCUGAGGUGCGAAAGCGUGGGGAGCAAACAGGAUUGGAUACCCUGGUAGUCCACGCCGUAAACGAUGAGUGCUAGAUGUCGCGGGUAUUGACCCCUGCGGCGUCGAAGUUAACGCAUUAAGCACUCCGCCUGGGGAGUACGGCCGCAAGGCUA
rnacentral:rRNA from 1 species